GAAAGGGGAAGGAAAUCUCUAAAACCUGCCGUAGUUGGGAUCGAGGGUUGAAACCCACCCUCGUGAACAUGGAAUCCCUAGUAAUCGCGCGUCACUAGCACGCGGUGAAUACGUCCCUGCUCCUUGCACACACCGCCCGUCGUUCCAUCCGAGCGACUUCUGGGUGAGACGUGGUCUUCGUUGGCUGCGUCGAAUCUAGGUCUCGUAAGGAGGGAAAAGUCGUAACAAGGUGGCCGUAGGGGAACCUGCGGCCGGAUCACCUCCUAAGUAA
rnacentral:rRNA from 1 species